AUUGGUCUUAUCCUUUAAAUUCAGAGCCUUCGUGGUGCUGGGAGACUGUGGGGAAAGUAUUGUUACCUUCAGAGUGAUUGUCUCAGAAUCGAAGCUUCGUUUCCAGAACCCACUCACACUUUAUGUGAACAUAGCUCUGGCAGUGGUCCAGAAACCCAGCCCUCCUUUUCGUGUCUGCCAAAGCUGCUUGAAAGCCCCAUAGCAGAAUCACUGAGCUGGCAAACCUUCCAGAAACUCAAUCAUCCUUCAGCGUGACUUGGUUUUUAUUUUUAUUUUUAUCAGUUUGUUUUGUGAGCUGAGACUUAUCACAUCAGAAGAAACAGAAAUUUCGGAUCUAGGCAGGCAAGACAUUUUUCAGAACUCUUCUUAUUUGGAAUAUGAAAUCAGGAAAGGGGGCUGCAAGGGGGCUGCAACUCAGCCUGGUAUAGACAAAGUAAAGGAUUUGAGUCCAAGGUCUGCAUGGUGACAACAUGCUGUAGCCUCAGCACUUGAGCGGCAGGGAGCAGAGGCUCAAGGGACUUCAAGGUUCUCCAUAGUUAAGUGAGAAGCUUGAGGCCAGUUUAGGUUACUUGUGGAGAGUCUUUGGAUGGGGCAGAAUUGUUGUACUGGGCAAACUACGUGUACAUCUAAGAUUGUGAAUCGAUUUUUAAACUUUUCCUGUUUUUAUUUUACCCCGAGGGUUAUUUUCUUGCUAGACUUUUGAAAUUGUCAAUUUUUUUUGUUCACAGCAUCAUAUAUUCUUCUCUUCUCACAUGUAUAGGUGAAAAUUGUGCUAUUUUAGUGUGUAAGAAAAAAGCUCUCCUCUUCAACACUUUCCUUCCCUCCCCUGGGUUUUUAUGUAAAUGUACAGACCAUCUUUUUCUUACAUUUAUAAGGAAGCUGUUAACUGUCUACAGAGCAAUUGGAGUUUAUUUUCCAAUGUUAUAAACAACUUUAAUUAGACAAUUAAAUUGCUUUUGAAACUUGUCAAAUAAAAACAAACAAUUGUCG
rnacentral:lncRNA from 1 species